UACAGAGGGUGCAAGCGUUGCUCGGAUUUACUGGGCGUAAAGCGUACGCAGACGGCCACGCAGGUCGGGUGUGAAAGCCCCGGGCUCAACCCGGGAAUUGCAUUCGAAACCAUGUGGCUCGAGUGUGGGAGAGGGUAGUGGAAUUCCUGGUGUAGAGGUGAAAUUCGUAGAUAUCAGGAGGAACACCGGCGGCGAAGGCGGCUACCUGGUCCACAACUGACGUUCAGGUACGAAAGGCGUGGGGAGCAACAGG
rnacentral:rRNA from 1 species